rnacentral:rRNA from 1 species
UAUGUGAUCGUCUCUCGCAUAUCAAUAAGCGGAGGAAAAGAAACUAACAAGGAUUCCCCUAGUAACGGCGAGUGAAGCGGGAAGAGCUCAAAUUUGAAAUCUUAAAGGGUUUCCCUUUACGAAUUGUAGUUUAAAGAAGUGUUUUCUGUUGAGGUUUUGGUAAAAGUUCUUUGGAAUAGGACAUCAUAGAGGGUGAGAAUCCCGUAUUUGACCUUUACUUUCAACUUUGUGAUACACUUUCAAAGAGUCGGAUUGUUUGGGAAUGCAGUCCAAAAUGGGUGGUAAAUUUCAUCUAAAGCUAAAUAUUGGCGAGAGACCGAUAGCGAACAAGUACCGUGAGGGAAAGAUGAAAAGAACUUUGAAAAGAGAGUUAAACAGUACGUGAAAUUGUCAAAAGGGAAGCGUUUGACACCAGUGUUGUUUUUCUGAAAAUCAAUUAAAGAACUGUUUAUGCUAAGCUGUUUAGACUUUAUCAGCUAUCCGCUUAGUUUUGAGCUUUUCUUUAAUGCACUUUUCAGUUAACAAGUCAACAUCAAUUUCUUUUGCUGUAAAAAAGCUUGAGGAAGGUGGCUUGAGAUUCGUCUUAAGUGUUUAUAGCCUCUUGCCUAUGGAGUCGGAGAGAUUGAGGUCUGCAGCGUAGAUCCUUCGGGGCUAAAUGCAUUUGUGCUAAGUUAUAGCAUUUUAUAGACAACUUGUUGACUAUGAUUUGUCUUGUAGCUUACUCGCUUAUGUUAUUUUACCUACGCUUAGGAUGUUGAUCUACAGAGCGAGAGU